rnacentral:rRNA from 1 species
GAGUUUGAUCCUGGCUCANAUUGAACGCUGGCGGCAGGCCUAACACAUGCAAGUCGAGCGAGAAAGCCCUUCNGGGUGAGUAGAGCGGCGGACGGGUGAGUAACGCGUAGGAAUCUACCCAGUAGCGGGGGACAACAUGUGGAAACGCAUGCUAAUACCGCAUACGCCCUUCGGGGGAAAGCGUGGGACCUUCNGGCCNCGCACUAUUGGAUGAGCCUGCGUAGGAUUAGCUAGUUGGUGAGGUAAAGGCUCACCAAGGCGACGAUCCUUAGCUGGUCUGAGAGGAUGAUCAGCCACACUGGAACUGAGACACGGUCCAGACUCCUACGGGAGGCAGCAGUGGGGAAUAUUGCGCAAUGGAGGAAACUCUGACGCAGCCAUGCCGCGUGUGUGAAGAAGGCUCUAGGGUUGUAAAGCACUUUCAGCGAGGAGGAAAAGCUAGUAGUUAAUACCUGCUAGCCGUGACGUUACUCGCAGAAGAAGCACCGGCUAACUCAGUGCCAGCAGCCGCGGUAAUACUGAGGGUGCAAGCGUUAAUCGGAAUUACUGGGCGUAAAGCGCGCGUAGGCGGCUUGGUCAGUUGGAUGUGAAAGCCCCGGGCUUAACCUGGGAACUGCAUUCAAUACUGCCAAGCUAGAGUAUGGGAGAGGGCUGUGGAAUUCCACGUGUAGCGGUGAAAUGCGUAGAUAUGUGGAGGAACAUCAGUGGCGAAGGCGGCAGCCUGGCCCAAUACUGACGCUGAGGUGCGAAAGCG